UAGGAAUAUUGGACAAUGGGGGCAACCCUGAUCCAGCCAUGCCGCGUGAAUGAAGAAGGCCUUAGGGUUGUAAAGUUCUUUCGGCUGUGAAGAUAAUGACAGUAGCAGAAGAAGAAGCUCCGGCUAAAUUCGUGCCAGCAGCCGCGGUAAUACGAAUGGAGCGAGCGUUGUUCGGAAUCACUGGGCGUAAAGCGUGCGCAGGCGGUCUUGAAAGUCAGAAGUGAAAGCCCAGGGCUUAACCCUGGAAUUGCUUUUGAAACUCCAAGACUAGAGUACUGGAGAGGUUGGCGGAAUUCCGGGUGUAGCAGUGAAAUUCGUAGAUAUUCGGAGGAACACCGAUGGCGUAGGCAGCCAACUGGACAGUAACUGACGCUCAUGCACGAAAGCGUGGGGAUCAAAC
rnacentral:rRNA from 1 species